GCGAGGGUGGCGGAAUUGGUAGACGCGCUAGACUUAGGAUCUAGUGCCCUUACGGGCGUGAGAGUUCGAGUCUCUCCCUUCGUA
rnacentral:tRNA from 1 species